UAUACAUGCAGUCGAGCGAUGGAUUAAGAGCUUGCUCUUAUGAAGUUAGCGGCGGACGGGUGAGUAACACGUGGGUAACCUACCCAUAAGACUGGGAUAACUCCGGGAAACCGGGGCUAAUACCGGAUAAUAUUUUGAACUGCAUAGUUCGAAAUUGAAAGGCGGCUUCGGCUGUCACUUAUGGAUGGACCCGCGUCGCAUUAGCUAGUUGGUGAGGUAACGGCUCACCAAGGCGACGAUGCGUAGCCGACCUGAGAGGGUGAUCGGCCACACUGGGACUGAGACACGGCCCAGACUCCUACGGGAGGCAGCAGUAGGGAAUCUUCCGCAAUGGACGAAAGUCUGACGGAGCAACGCCGCGUGAGUGAUGAAGGCUUUCGGGUCGUAAAACUCUGUUGUUAGGGAAGAACAAGUGCUAGUUGAAUAAGCUGGCACCUUGACGGUACCUAACCAGAAAGCCACGGCUAACUACGUGCCAGCAGCCGCGGUAAUACGUAGGUGGCAAGCGUUAUCCGGAAUUAUUGGGCGUAAAGCGCGCGCAGGUGGUUUCUUAAGUCUGAUGUGAAAGCCCACGGCUCAACCGUGGAGGGUCAUUGGAAACUGGGAGACUUGAGUGCAGAAGAGGAAAGUGGAAUUCCAUGUGUAGCGGUGAAAUGGCGUAGAAACA
rnacentral:rRNA from 1 species